GAAGCUGUCCUCAACAACAUGAUAUAGUUUCCUCUGUCUCACUGAGAAAUUUUUCUAGGUAAAUUACAUAGCCUUCCUUGCUAUAUGAUAUAAUUUAUCGUGAGUUGGUACUUUAUACAUGUAUAGGGUGUAGUGGUCCAAAAGUCAGUGGGUAUAUGUUGGCCUCAAUUGCUCCGCCGUGUUUUACAUUUGAGAACUGUAGCUUUGCAGAUGUAAUGCCAUAUAACUGUUUUUACCAUGGUAAAUGGUUCGACGAGAUUCCGUCGUCGAAAUUUAUGGUUUUGCAUAUUUGCACAGUGGAACUAUCAGGUUUAUUAAGUAUCAACGUCUUUAUCAACGCAGCUGCGCAUAAUUAUUCUACUUAGUUUAACUCUCUUUCUAUUUUAGCUGAAUUCCAUUCCCUCCCUCUUCGAGAUGAUUGCUUCCGUCAAUUGCGAAGGACUCGCUCAAGAUAGAGAGAUAAUAUUAAGACGAGCGGAUCGAUAAAUCGAAGAAUUAAUUCAUAAACUCGAUUGUGUUUCAUAUAGUUUCAUCUGCAAGAUGGUAGACUUCUUCACUUCUCAGUUCUCAAAGCUCGACGAUCUUCAUAUUAUAUUAUACUUAUAGGAUAAAGGUUGUUAUUUUAUUUUUUAAAUUAAGUACAUUCAUUUAACAAUUCACUUUAUUUGAUAGCUUCUUUUGAUUAACCCCUCCAAGCUCGAUAUUAUAUUUUAUCAUUAAUAUUAUCUGCCAUUUGUUCAAUUAGUUACAUUUCCAGGGUCAAAUUACAGAUAGUAAUUGAGAGCGGCUUUAGAAAUCAGGGAACGUGACCUAUACAUAGCAUAGAUUAUCUCUUAAUCAGCUGAAUUCUGUUCAACGAGUACAGUAGACACAAGACAACCUCAAGAAAGCUUCUAGACUACUCCGCUUACUGUCACAACACUAUUCAACCAACGAGUUUUCGAAGAUUAUCACCCUGGGACACUCUUCUGCUUCAUUCUCAAGGCACAACACCACAACUUCAGAAGAUGCAAGGAGCGUGUUCUUAACUCUCCAAAACGAAGGAGGGGAUCUGCAAUAAACAAAGACGAUAUAUUUUUGGCCAGAAAUUUGCGGAGUUCCUUCGUCUUGUAUUGAUAUCGGUCUUG